ACUGGAGCAAUAAGGUUUUCGAGUAAUCCGAUGAGAGUUCGGUAUGAAUAAGGAUCGGCUAACUCCGUGCCAGCAGCCGCGGUAAUACGGAGGAUCCGAGCGUUAUCCGGAAUUAUUGGGUUUAAAGGGUGCGUAGGCGGCCAUAUAAGUCAGCGGUGAAAUUUUGCAGCUUAACUGUAACAGUGCCGUUGAUACUGUUUGGCUAGGAUUUGGUUGUAGUGUGCGGAAUGUGUGGUGUAGCGGUGAAAUGCUUAGAUAUCACACAGAACACCGAUUGCGAAGGCAGCACACUAAGUCAUUAUUGACGCUGAGGCACGAAAGUGUGGGGAUCAAACAGGAUUAGAUACCCUGGUAGUCCACACUGUAAACGAUGAUAACUCGCUGUCGGCGAUACACAGUCGGUGGCCAAGCGAAAGCAUUAAGUUAUCCACCUGGGGAGUACGACCGCAAGGUUGAAACUCAAAGGAAUUGACGGGGGCCCGCACAAGCGGAGGAACAUGUGGUUUAAUUCGAUGAUACGCGAGGAACCUUACCCGGGCUCGAACGGUGCAUGAAUAUACGAGAGAUUGUAUAGUCCUUCGGGACAUGUAUCGAGGUGCUGCAUGGUUGUCGUCAGCCCGUGCCGUGAGGUGUCGGCUUAAGUGCCAUAACGAGCGCAACCCUUGUCAUUAGUUGCCAUCAGGUCAAGCUGGGGACUUUAAUGAGACUGCCACCGUAAGGUGUGAGGAAGGGGGGGAUGACGUCAAAUCAGCACGGCCCUUAUGUCCGGGGCGACACACGUGUUACAAUGGGAGGUACAGAGGGCAGCUAUCCGGUGACGGAAUGCUAAUCUCCAAAACCUUUCUCAGUUCGGAUUGGAGUCUGCAACUCGACUCCAUGAAGGUGGAUUCGCUAGUAAUCGCGCAUCAGCCAUGGCGCGGUGAAUACGUUCCCGGGCCUUGCACACACCGCCCGUCAAG
rnacentral:rRNA from 1 species